rnacentral:misc_RNA from 1 species
AAAAAAAAAAAAAAAAACUAGAGGCGAAAACCCGAAAGGGCGCUUCUAGCCGAAUGGACGAAGAGAAAGUGAAAACCCGCAAGGGCGCUUUCCGUAGAAUAAGAAGAAAGUCAGGAAUGGAAAAGAGACACCCGAAAGAAUGAGAUCACAAGUCCGGUCUUGCAACUCCUCCUCCAUUAAUCGUCCGCCUUCGUUAUCUUGUUAAGUACACUUCU